rnacentral:rRNA from 1 species
AACGAACGCUGGCGACAGGCUUAACACAUGCAAGUCGAGCGCCCCGCAAGGGGAGCGGCAGACGGGUGAGUAACACGUGGGAACGUACCCUUUACUACGGAAUAACGCAGGGAAACUUGUGCUAAUACCGUAUGUGCCCUUUUGGGGAAAGAUUUAUCGGUAAGGGAUCGGCCCGCGUUGGAUUAGCUAGUUGGUGGGGUAAAGGCCUACCAAGGCGACGAUCCAUAGCUGGUCUGAGAGGAUGAUCAGCCACAUUGGGACUGAGACACGGCCCAAACUCCUACGGGAGGCAGCAGUGGGGAAUAUUGGACAAUGGGCGCAAGCCUGAUCCAGCCAUGCCGCGUGAGUGAUGAAGGCCCUAGGGUUGUAAAGCUCUUUCUCCGGAGAAGUUAAUGACGGUAUCCGGAGAAGAAGCCCCGGCUAACUUCGUGCCAGCCGCCGCAGUAACAC